CCCUUAGAUGUUCGGGGCUGCACAUGCGCUACACUGAAGGAAUCAACGUGUAUUUGCCCUUGCCCGAAAGGGUUGGGUAACCCGUUGAACCUCCUUCGUGCUAGGGAUUGGGGCUUGUAAUUAUUCCCCAUGAACGGGGAAUUCCCAGUAAGCGCGAGUCAUAAGCUCGCGUUGAUUACGUCCCUGCCCUUUGUACACACCGCCCGUCGCUACUACCGAUUGAAUGGUUUAGUGAGAUCCUCGGAUUGGUCCCGCCACGGGAGGAAACUUUCGAGGCGGAGUGCCGAGAAGACGAUCAAACUUGAUCAUUUAGAGGAAGUAAAAGUCGUAACA
rnacentral:rRNA from 1 species